rnacentral:lncRNA from 1 species
CAGGACCCUGGGGACAUCAGUCCUGGUGGUUUUGGGGCGCUCAGACCUUCAAGGACAUCACCCCAGUGGGGUUUGGGGUGCACAGACCUUCAGGGACAUCACCUGGGAUGGUCCCUGUGGGGUUUGGGGUGCACAGGACCCUAUGGACACCCACCCAGAGGGGUCCCUGGGGUGUUUGGGGUACUCAGAUCCUCAGGGACAUCAAUCCUGGGGGGUUUGGGGUGCUCAGGAUCCUGAGGAAACCAACCCAGAAGGGUCCCUGUAGGGUUUGGGGUACUCAGACCUUCAAGGACAGCAAUCCAGAGGGGUCCCUGGGGUGUUUGGGGUGCUCAGAACCUCGGGAACAUCACCUGGGAUGGUUCUUGUGGGGUUUGGGGUGUGCAGGAUCCUGGGGACACCAACCCAUGGGGUCCCUGUGGGAUUUGGGGUGCACAGACCCUCAGGGACAGCAAUCCAAGGGGGUCCCUGUGGGGCUGGGUAGGGUUUGGGAGGUCCCCCCCAGCUCUAAAGGAGGGUUUG